GCGGGCGUAGCUCAGUUGGUAGAGCUCCGGAUUGUGAUUCCGGUCGUCGUGGGUUCGAGUCCCAUCGCUCGCCCCA
rnacentral:tRNA from 1 species